rnacentral:tRNA from 2 species
CAGUAUUUAGUUUAUUUUUAAAAUAUAGUGUUUGGGACAUUAAGAAUUUUUUACUGA